rnacentral:rRNA from 1 species
GCGGUAGGCCUAACACAUGCAAGUCGAGCGGUAAGGUCUCUUCGGAGACACACGAGCGGCGAACGGCUGAGUAACACGUUGGAACCUGCCCCUUAGUGAGGGAUAACUCCGAGAAAUCGGAGCUAAUACCGCAUGUGCCUGCAAAGGUAAAGCUUCGGCGCUAAGGGAGGGGCCUGCGGCGUAUCAGGUUGUUGGUGGGGUAAUAGCUCACCAAGCCAUUGACGCGUAGCUGGUGUGAGAGCAUGACCAGCCAGAAUGGGACUGAGACACGGCCCAUACUCCUACGGGAGGCAGCAGUGAGGAAUCUUCCGCAAUGGGCGAAAGCCUGACGGAGCCAUACCGCGUGAAGGAUGACACCUUUCGGGGCGUAAACUUCUUUUCUGCAGGAAUACAUUUUGAAGGUACUGCAGGAAUAAGGGUCGGCUAACUACGUGCCAGCAGCCGCGGUAAUACGUAGGACCCAAGCGUUAUCCGAAAUUACUGGGCGUAAAGCGAUCGAAGGUGGACAAAUAAGUCUGGUGUAAAAUUUUGCGGCUCAACCGCAAAAGCGUACUGGAAACUAUUUAUCUAGAGGAAGACAGAGGUAGAUGGAAUUCUCAUUGUAGGGGUAAAAUCCGUUGAUAAUGAGAGGAACACCAAAAGCGAAGGCAGUCUACUGGGUCUUUCCUGACACUGUGCGAUCGAAAGCGUGGGGAGCAAAAGGGAUUAGAUACCCCUGUAGUCCACGCCGUAAACGAUGGAUACUCGGUGUAGGUAGUUUUAAUCGCUAUCUGUGCCCUAGCAAACGCGUUAAGUAUCCCGCCUGAGUAGUACGACCGCAAGGUUAAAACUCAAAGGAAUAGACGGGGAUCCACACAAGCGGUGGAGCAUGUGGUUUAAUUCGACAAUAAGCGAGGAACCUUACCUGGACUUGACAUCCUGAGAAGCUUUCAGAAAUGAGAGUGUGCCUUUUGGAACUCAGUGACAGGUGCUGCAUGGUUGUCGUCAGCUCGUGCCUUGAGGUGUUCGGUUAAGUCCGUUAACGAGCGCAACCCUCGCCAGAUGUUGUAUUUUUCAUCUGGGACUGCCGGUUUUACACCGGAGGAAGGUGAGGAUGACGUCAAAUCAGCAUGGCCCUUAUGUCCAGGGCGACACACGUGCUACAAUGGCCGGUACAAAGGGUAGCUAAGUUGUAAAGCGGAGCCAAUCCCAUAAAGCUGGUCACAGUUCGGAUUGAGGGCUGCAACCCGCCCUCAUGAAGCUGGAAUCGCUAGUAACCGUAAAUCAGCCAUAUUACGGUGAAUAUGUUCCUGGAUCUUGUACUCACCGCCCGUCAAGCCACGAAAGGCAGGGGUGCCCGAAAUGGCGUUA